GACUGUCUCUGUCGAAGAUGCAGACGGAGAAUCCAAGCUCGUUCUCCAGGACGCUUCGGAGGGUGAAGAGAACAAAGUGCUCCUCCUCGCUGUUCCUCGCAUAGGAGAUGUACACAUCGUACUCCUUAUGGAGCGGUAGAGCAGCAGCAGCUCCAGCCAGAAGACGUGGUAGAGGAAGAAGAGGAGCAGCAUGAGGAGCAGCGUCGCCCCGAGGCCACAGCCCAGCUCCAGGGAGGGCAGCGACACUGAGGGAGGCAGACAGGUGGUUAAAGAGUUAAAGAGUGAACGGCGUGUCCCAGAUGAAGAGGACACGAGCGACAACACGACAACAAGACGCGAACACGCGCCUCGGACUGCGGGACACCGG